CGCACCCGUAGCUCAGCUGGAUAGAGUAGGUGGCUUCGAACCACUUGGUCGGGGGUUCGAAUCCUCCGGGUGCGCC
rnacentral:tRNA from 1 species